rnacentral:lncRNA from 1 species
GACAUGAUCAAAAUACAUUUGCACAUGAGGGUUGCUACUUAAUGAGCUGUGGUGGUGAGAAGUGAACAGCUGUUCUAGCGACGAGAUGCUUGGUGGGCUUGACACAACUGAGCACACCUGAGCACAGGGAACUCACCAAACUGCCUGGCGAUGCACAGGUGUUGAGAAACAAGACAACGACAAAGAACAGUCUCUUCUAGGUGUGCCCAGAUGAUGAUAAUCAGGACAAUUUGGGACUUCAUAUUUUUCAGAACUUUAAUCUUCAUAAAAUUUUCAACAGAAGCAAAGAGAAAGGGCUGG